rnacentral:snRNA from 1 species
GUGCUCGCUCCGGCAGCACAUAUACUACAACUGCAACGACACAGAGAAGGCUAGCAUGGCCCCUGCGCAAGGAUGACACGUAAAUUCGUGAAGCGGUCCAUGUUUUU